GACCGAGACCCCAGGUCAGGCGGGACUACCCGCUGAG
rnacentral:rRNA from 1 species